UCCGUAGGUGAACCUGCGGAAGGAUCAUUACCGAGUGUAGGGUUCCUAGCGAGCCCAACCUCCCACCCGUGUUUACUGUAACCUUAGUUGCUUCGGCGGGCCCGCCGUUUACGGCCGCCGGGGGGCAUCAGCCCCCGGGCCCGCGCCCGCCGGAGACACCACGAACUCUGUCUGAUCUAGUGAAGUCUGAGUUGAUUGUAUCGCAAUCAGUUAAAACUUUCAACAAUGGAUCUCUUGGUUCCGGCAUCGAUGAAGAACGCAGCGAAAUGCGAUAACUAGUGUGAAUUGCAGAAUUCCGUGAAUCAUCGAGUCUUUGAACGCACAUUGCGCCCCCUGGUAUUCCGGGGGGCAUGCCUGUCCGAGCGUCAUUGCUGCCCAUCAAGCACGGCUUGUGUGUUGGGUCGUCGUCCCCUCUCCGGGGGGGACGGGCCCCAAAGGCAGCGGCGGCACCGCGUCCGAUCCUCGAGCGUAUGGGGCUUUGUCACCCGCUCUGUAGGCCCGGCCGGCGCUUGCCGAACGCAAAACAACCAUUCUUUCCAGGUUGACCUCGGAUCAGGUAGGGAUACCCGCUGAACUUAAGCAUAUCAAUAAGCGGAGG
rnacentral:rRNA from 1 species